rnacentral:lncRNA from 1 species
CUCCUUUACCUUUUCGAGAUACUUGGCCAUACUGUCCUCCCGAGCUUCAUAAUUUUCGUUGACCUGUCCCACUACUAAUUGAGAGUCACUGUAGGCUUGGAGCCGAUCUACUUCCAAUUCUUUGGCGACCUUUAUUCCUGCAAUCAGAGUUUCAUAUUCUGCUCCGUUAUUUAUCGCAGGGAACUCGAAGCGCAGUGCAUACUCUGCGAU